rnacentral:lncRNA from 10 species
GCAGGACAGAAGGGUACCAUCUUUCCAGGAAGCUGUCUUGCUAAGCUGUGCUCUCAGAGCAUCCCAGUAGACAUCUCUUACGUACCACAGCAGACCCAAAUGGCCUCACCUGUCCCUUCCUGAGGCCACCGCUGCAGUAACCAGCUUCCUACAGGUGCAGCUGGCAGAUAUUGCCUCCAGCCCACCCCAUGUACCUUCACUGCCACCCUGGCCUCCCUGCUUAUGUGCAGGAGAGCACGUCACAGGGACCUGAAGGGCAAGUUCCUGGCAUGUGUGAGAUGAGACAUGGGGCAAACUUUGAGCGGCGGGGGGGCCGAAGGAGUGGAUAACACUCCCUCCUCUCUCCCCAGCAAAGGGGUGACUCUGAGACACAGUCCACACGGCUUCCAGGCGGUCACAGCACAGACCCAGACAGGUCACAGCAUAGACAGAUAGUCAGGCAGGUCAGAGCAGGCAUCCUGCGCGGCCACUCCACCAUCCCUCCUGCGCGGCCGCUCGACCAACCCUCCUGCGCAGCCACCGGACCACCCCUCCUGCCCAGCCACCGGACUGCCCCUCCUGCAUAGCCACCUGACCGCCCCUCCUGCGUGGCCACCAGACCGCCCCUCCUGCAUGGCCACCUGACCACCCCUCCUGCCCGGCCACUGGACCACCCUUCCUGCAUGGCCACCAGACGUCCCCUCUUGCGUGGUCACCAGACUGCCCCUCCUGCGUGGCCUCUCAGCACUGCCCUCCUCCCCGCCCACUCCAUUCCCUGUGACCACAUCCACAGCAAAGCCCUGCACUUCAGUCACCGCCUCAUGCGCUGCAUUCUGGGGAACCUGGAGCUGAGAUCGUGUGGCCCCCAGAGCCACCGCUGAGAGACAGCAGAGGUGCUGCCAUGAAGCAAAAUAGCCAGGGGGGGCAGCAAGACCACCAGAGUCCCCACCGCAGUAAAGCAGCGGCCCAGGAGGCUGGGAACAGCAGCGGUCACCCGAGUUCCGAAUCGAAAUGGCCACGACACGGAGAAACUCUGUCCACAAACACGAUGCCCACUACUCACAAGAGGUGAGUCCGGAUACCACAAUGUAUCUACUUUUAUCAUAUGCACGGAAGGAGUUUGUUUUCCCUAAGCAGUGGACACUUCAGCUGGGCACAGCCGUGUGCACCAGCUACUUAUGAGGCUGAGGCGGGAGAAUCACUUGAGUUCGAGAGCAACCUGGGCAGCACAGGGAGACCACGAAGAGAGAAGGGAAACAGGAAGGGGAAGGGGAAGGAAAAC